UUGUGUGAGUGCAUAUGUGUGUACAUGUGUGUAUGUACGUGUGUAUGUGAGUAUACCUGACUAUGCAUGUGUGAGCAUGUGUGGGUAUCUGUGUAUGCGUGUGAAGAUGAGUGUGCAUGUGUGUGUGUGUGAGUGCACGUGGGUGUGGGUGUGCAUGUGAGCGUGCCAGGCCCUCGGAAGUGUGUAGAAGGCCUUGUCAGCCAGCAGCUCCCGUUUCCUUUCCUGCCCCUACCCUACUGUGCAGAGCUCACCCUGCAGCUCCAUCUCUUUCUUUCCACUGUAAACCAAGCUCGAGGGGCCCAAGCCUCGUGGGGGGUGCAUGGGCUGAUGUGUGAGGAAGAGCAGGUGUGCCCACCCAGCGCCUGCCCAUUGCCGCCGUGUCUGCCCGACGCCGUGUCUGACAGCAUCCUUGAGGGACCAGGCUCCUGACUGCAGAGAGGGCUGGAGCCCAUUAUGCCCGAG
rnacentral:lncRNA from 1 species